CUUCUAUUCAAGAAUUCAAGUUGUAAUAAAAAAUCAAAUAGAUCAAUCAGUUGUGUAUUUUUGAAGUUAUUGUCUUUACUAACAUCCUCAUUAAUAACUCAUCUUUCAAAUGGUAGGAAUUUUGUUCUAGUUGAGCAUAUUUGAACGAGUGUAAAUAUGAUUUUUACGUAAGUGAAUCAACUGGGAUCUAGUAAGCGUUAACAGCAUACAUCUCAUUGCUUCGCAAUAAAGUUGCGCAAUUUUUGAAAAACCUGAGAUGUCCGUUAAUAUCUAGGGAUGUUGUAUUUUAAUACAGUCAGGUCAAAUAUGAUGGCAAAAGAGAUGUAGGGUCCACUUCUGUUGUGUGGUUCUUCAUCUAUAAAUAUGAAAGAAGAUGAUACUCAAAAUCUGAUUUCCAGCACGUGCCGCAAUGCUGACAACCUUUUAUUUUUUUCAUGAAACCAUGAUCUAUCGUAUUUAG